UACGGAGGGUGCAAGCGUUGUCCGGAAUCACUGGGCGUAAAGGGCGCGUAGGCGGCUCAUGAAGGCUGUGGUGAAAGUCCGGGGCUCAACCUCGGAUCGGCCGUGGCGACUCGUGGGCUGGAGCACUGUAGAGGCGGGUGGAAUUGCGGGUGUAGCGGUGGAAUGCGUAGAGAUCCGGAAGAACACCAGUGGCGAAGGCGGCCCGCUGGGCAGUGGCUGACGCUGAGGCGCGACAGCGUGGGGAGCAAACAGG
rnacentral:rRNA from 1 species